rnacentral:rRNA from 1 species
UACGGAGGGGGCAAGCGUUGUUCGGAUUUACUGGGCGUAAAGGGUGCGUAGGCGGGCGAUUAAGUUACUUGUGAAAUCUCUGAGCUUAACUCAGAGCGGCCAAGUAAUACUAUUUGACUAGAGUGCAGAAGGGGCAACUGGAAUUCUUGGUGUAGCGGUGAAAUGCGUAGAUAUCACCAGGAACACCUGAGGCGAAGGCGGGUUGCUGGGCUGACACUGACGCUGAGGCGCGAAAGCUAGGGGAGCAAACAGG